rnacentral:rRNA from 1 species
UACGAAGGGGGCUAGCGUUGCUCGGAAUCACUGGGCGUAAAGCGCACGUAGGCGGGUCGUUAAGUCGGGGGUGAAAUCCUGGAGCUCAACUCCAGAACUGCCUUCGAUACUGGCGAUCUUGAGUCUGGGAGAGGUGAGUGGAACUCCGAGUGUAGAGGUGAAAUUCGUAGAUAUUCGGAAGAACACCAGUGGCGAAGGCGGGCUCACUGGCCCCGAUACUGACGCUGAGGCACGAAAGCGUGGGGAGCAAACAGG